AUGUACCACCAUGCAAGGCUAAGUUGUUUUUUGUUUGUUUGUUUGUUUUUUUGUAUGGGGUCUCCUGUGUUGCCCAGGCUAGUCUCAAACUCAGGACUCAAGGGAUCCUCCCACCUCAGCCUCCAGAGUAGCUGGGACCACAGUGAUCGUGGUGGAGAAGACCCAAACCAGAAAGUAAUCCAUGGGGUUAUUAACUCCUUUGUUCAUGUUGAACAGUAUAAGAAAAAAUUCCCCUUAAAGGUAAACAGCCUCCUUUAAAAAUAUAAAUAAUCAGACUGUUAAUUUUUUAAACUGCUUGCUCUAAUUUCUUCUAAUAUGAUGUAAUUGAUUUAUCCAGUUUUAUCAGGAAAUCUUUGAGUCUCCCUUUCUGACUGAAACAGGAGAGUAUUAUAAACAAGAAGCUUCAAAUUUAUUGCAAGAAUCAAACUGCUCACAGUAUAUGGAAAAGGUAAGAAAUAAAACAUAUUAAAUAUGUUUAUCUAUUUUUGUAUCUGGCCUGGUUUUAUUUAACAUCGUUCUUAGUUUUGGGGGGGGGGUGGAAAAAGAUGGUUUAUUUAAUCAUUAACUCUGAGUUAUAGUUAUUAUACAAUAACGUUGUUAAGUCAUUGCUCUUGUUGUAACAUUUUCCUGAGAAAACAGUACCCUUCCAGUUUUCAUCAUAAUUGAUGCAUUUUGAUAAAUCCUAACUGCCUGGAUUAAUAUAUAUGCACAUUCUUGGCAGAAUAAUAAACUGGAUUUCAUGCUUAGUGGUUUGUUUAGAGAAUAGGAUAAGUGCAGAAGCUCUGUGUUGAGGUUUUUUUCUUCGUUUAAAAUGAGAGGAAAAAUAGGGAAAAUAUAGUCAUGUCUAGAAUGACAUUUGAAUAAGUCACUCUUUUGGUCUGUUAAGUUCUUGGAAAGCUGA
rnacentral:lncRNA from 1 species